AGCUUUGCACAGUGGCAGUAUCAUAGCCAAUGAGGUUUAUCCAAGGCGCGAUUACUGCUAAUUGAAAACUUUAAGUGUCAACAGUUGCACAACCGUCUCCAUCGUCUUGAGUUCUCUCGCAUGUGGGAAGUGUCCACUCCUCACCAGAGU
rnacentral:snRNA from 1 species